rnacentral:lncRNA from 1 species
GCACUGGGUUUGCCAUGUGUUUGCACUGUCUGGCUCUGGUAAUUGUCAAACUACAGUGAGAAAAGGAUCUUCAUCUUGUCAGCAUACUUGGGAUGUCACAAGGAAGUUCUGGAAGCUUUUCUGUAAAACCAAAGACCUCAUUACUGCUUUAUUGCCUGUUACAGCAAGGAGGGUGAAUUCCACCAGGGCUGCAGGAGGAGGGCACUGCUGAAAGCUGUCCUACAACAAGCACACGGCAAAGGGAUGCUGCUGGACCUCCCACAUGUUGUCACCUUUGCUGCCCAUGGGAUGAGCCUCUCUCACUGUCACUCUUGUACAGGAGAGCUUGUCAAGUGCCAGAAGCCAAAGCCUUGAAAGACAUCUCAGUGCUGCUCGCUUACGUAACGCCAAAUCUGCUCGCACAGGCAGCAUUUCCCGUGGUGAGGAUCUGUUGUGAAAUAGAGACAAGAUGGUUGGUUAACUCAGACUGAGAAGAUCUGAUCCUUUGCUACCGACCAGGGAUUGACCUAAGGAAGAUCGUUUCCUCUCUGUUGCUGCUGUAAUCUGCAUCCUUUGUAUGGUCCCAGCUUCAAGGCAAAAGAUGUUCACAGCUACAACAAAAGGAAAGAGGAGUAUGAAAAGAUUAGUUUGAUCAAAGGAGCAUCAUGUCACACCAGAAGAUUGAUUUUCCCUUUCCUCCUGGACUGCCUGGCCCCUUCUUUCUGUGCUGCCCGUAAGGCAGCUGCAGAGCUUGCUUCCUUGUCUCACCAUGCCUUGCAUGCACGUCUUUUGAUUAUGGCUCGUCUCCUUUUAAUAUCACACAAACAAGGCUGUGUCAUGUCCCCAGUGCUGUCUGUCUGACCUAUUUGUUCUGUGAUGGAGAGAAUAGAGAGCGCUUCAGUUAUCACGCUUUCCCUGCAGGUAGGAGUCUCGGGACAGGACAUUCAGCCACCUCUCCUCUGUCCUGCAUUGUUUAGGAAGAGCAGAUAAAGGAAAGAAAAGUCUGAAUAUUUAAAGGUGAAUCAGUGCAAUGCUGGCUGUCUUUUUUGUUUACACCAGCACCGGAUCUCCGUGUACAAUUAGCUCCCGCUGUGCUGCAGAGUGCGGGCUGCAGUUUUGAUGGACAGGGAGGCAUAAAGCAAUAAUAUUUUAACACUUGGUGUCAAAUCACCUUUUGUUUAAUGGAGAUAAGGAAACAAUCCAAUUUUAAUAAUGCCUAAGCAAAAUAAGGGCUGGGGAUGAGAGGCUGGUAAGCAGUGUUGCCUGCCAGGGGGAAAACAUGUUUUAAUCCUGUGGAUCACAAAAGGAAAUUGCUAAGGCUAUAUCCCAUACAAUUAAGCCAAUUUAAGCCUGGCUAUUAGGGGAAAAGGGCUACUUGUAAACUGUGGCAUUUGAGUGCGGAGUUGUGCAGCAGCUCUGCUCUCUCACACAGCCUCAGUCUGUGCAGGGCUGCCUUUCUGCACCCUCACACCCAGGGCUGCUGAGAGCAACUGGAAUUUCAGGGAAGU